GGCCUCGGGCAACCUCGUACAGUUCAAGAGCUCGUGUGUCUCGUGCACACCUACAAGUCCAAGCUCAUCUUCCUCUCUGAAACACGGCAAAUAACAAUUGUAAGGAACUUAAAGUGGAGGCUCGGCCUUCGUCAAUGUAUCACGCAACCCGGCACUGGAAAAGGUGCCGGCAUUGCCCUCUUCUAUGAUGAGUGUGUGGAAAUAAAAAUGAUCGCCGUGGGGGCGAGAUACAUUGAUGUGUUAAUUCGGUUGAAUCCUCAUGGUAAAUAGUGGAGAGGGACCUUUGUCUACGGUGAACCAAAAGCACAUGAACGACACCAUAUGUGGACAUUGCUUAGAAGGAUUAAAGAUACUAGUAAUCUUCCAUGGCUGAUGAUGGCCGACUUCAAUGAAACUAUGUGGCAAUCCGAACACUUUUCGUCCACAAAGAGAUUCGAGAAGAACAUGGAAAAUUUUCGGGAAGUUCUGUCAGACUGCAAUCUGUUUGACAUGGGAUACAGAGGGCCAGGGUGGACGUACAAUAAUAAACAGCAAGGGCAUUCAAAUGUUCGUGCACGCUUGGACAGAUGUGUGGCAUCACCCGAGUGGUCGGACUUCUUUAAACAGGCCACUGUGGAACAUAUUUGCUCGUCGAGGUCUGAUCAUCUCCCUGUCCUGCUGAGAGUUGGGGAAAGGAAAGACUGGAGGCCUGUGGAUAAGGGCAACAGUGGUAUUUUUAGAUACGAAGAAAUGUGGGAAAGGGCCGAAUCACUACAACCAACGGUUACCACGGCAUGGAAGGAAGAUGGUCCGGCUGGGAGUUUACAGAAGAUCUGCGCUAAGUUGAAACACAUGCAAGAGAGUUUGCGCUAUUGGGUCGCUAAGGACUUUGGAUUGGUCAUCAAAAAAACUUCAGAAAUCCGGUCGAAGCUAAAAAGGAUCUGGAGCUCGGCUCCAUUACCAGAAAAUCAGAAGAGAGCGGAUAUGCUAGCUCAUUGCUACCUUUUGAGCACUGCGUUGGUUUUUCCUUGA
rnacentral:rRNA from 1 species